GUUUGAAAUCAGGAGAUAAAAGACUUGCUGGGGGGGCUAAAGGGAUUGGACACGCUGAGCAGGAGACGAGCAGAACUAGUUGUUAAAACUUGACCUACAUCGCUACUGAUUUGUUUGAAAUAAGAGACCGGAAUUAGCGGCCAUGGCGGACGAUACAGACUCGAUGAAGCUACCUGUGGGCCAGACAUGUGAACACAAGUCGAACAUCGGUGAGUGAAGGAUGGAUGCUGUGCUGUGGAGUUACUCAAGCUCCUCUCCCCGCUCCCUCAAGCAUCACUCUCCGCUUACUGACCUGGAGUCCAGCUCUUUCAUUUCUCAAGCCUGAAAAUGGGAGAGUUCAAGGACGUGGUUAGACAGGAUGUUCGAGCCACUGUGAACAAGCCCGAAGUUUUCUCUUGAAAAUGGGUGGAAUUACCUGAGAGCCGGCACACUCAAACCCAGAAAACCCUGCCAGGCCAGCUGCAGCAGCCACUGGGCAAGUUGCAGGUCACAACCAAGGUUCAGCCUGGACCUUCCUCUGCUGCACAUGUCUCCUGCCCUUGAUCCCUGAGCUGCUGCAGUGCGACCUGAACUAUUCCCAUCCGAUGCUGGAUACAACUCCAGUAUGUGUGUUUGCCCUAAACGAUUUUGGGGACUUUGGAGGUCCUAAACCUUCAUGUUAAGUAGUAGGAGGACUUUCUGUUGGUGUUGAAUUAAAAAUAAAUAAAUAAAAUGAAAUAAACUGAAGAGUGGAGUUGGGACUUUAUGAAAAUACACAUAAUACAAUUAAGUUUUUGGCAUCUUUCUGUUAAAUAUUGGAAUUGAUCUGACUUUUUCUAGUAGUUCAGUGUUUUCUUUUUGUCAAACCAGAAGUAUCUGUGGAGCAUGUGGACCUCAUUCACCAUGGAAACGUACAGAGUUAAACAAUCGCCUAUAAGAAUAAAUAUAGGAUUUUUCCAAUCAAAAAUCAUGAUUAAACUUUUAAUCCCGGAAACAAGAAGAAAUUUGACGACAGUGGCAAGGAAAAUUCCCUUUAAUGGCUCUGCGUGGGCAGCCGUCUGCCUCAGGCGGUUGGGUUGAGAGGGGGAGAGUGGAGAAAGAGAUGACUUAUUCCCAGUGAUGACCUAGUCUCUUUGUAGGCAGUGCCUUCCUACUGCUCAUCAUCCUGACCCUGUUAUGAUGGUCAUAUCCUAGGUUCUGUCAGGGUACCUGAAAACCAGCAUGCAGGCUCUUACACAGGUAGACGAGGUGCUGGAGCUGAGUAGCAUGUCAGGAGUGAUGGUGAGCAAUGUCAGUAGAGCGGCAGCUGCCUGUCAUCCACAGCAUGAACACUGAUGACCUUGGUGUAACUCUGAGAAGACAUCUCAAAGCCCUGCAGCUCUGUUGUGAACUUUUUACUGGUGAGCAACACAAGUGAAAGUCCAGUUUGGUGCAUGUCUUCAGAUAAGUUUGGGCCAAAAAAAUAACACAGUCCUUCUUAUACUUUAGUAAAUAUGGACAAACUGUCAUAUACACUAAUCAGGCACAAUUUUAAAACCACUGACAGGUGAAGUGAAUAACACUGAUUAUCUUCUUACAGCGGUACCUGUCAAGUUGUGGGGCCUAUUAGGCAGCAAGUGAACAGUCAGUUCUUGAAGUUGAUGUGUUAGAAGCAGGAAAAAUGGGCAAGUGUGAGGAUCUGAGCGACUUUGACAAGGGGUAAAUUGUGACGGUUAGACGACUGGGUCAGACCAGAGUCAGAUCCAUGGAGGCUCCACCUCGAAAAUUAAGACUUGAGGGUCUGAUGCUAACGUCUAGGUGCCUGAUAACACAGGACACCUUGAGAGGCCUUGUGGAGUCCGUGUUUCGAUGGUUCAGAGCUGUUUUGGCAGCACGAGGGGGACCUACACAGUGUCAGGCAGGUGGGUUUAAUGUUGGGGCUGAUGGGUGUAUUUCUAACGUCCUUGUCAGAGCAGCCAACUGUUCAGUAAUCCUUUGAGUCGGGCAGUUUUGCCGUGGUGACUGGAAUGAGUUGACGGUGUCUGUGGAUUCCUCUGAAGGGGUUGCAGUUUUUUAUGAUUUCCUUGCAUCAUCAGAGGCCACAGCUCAUCAUAAAUAUCUUCAUGUUCUCUGUGGCAUUGUCAGCCAGCAGUGGGUCUCAGGCUUGAUAAUGUGUUUGUUUUGUUAAAGCUGGUGCUGACAUAAAGUCCGUAUAAUUGUUAUUUACUGAAGCAGUAAUAAAGGAAACAACAUCUUUUCCAAAAAAAAUCCCUGGGAGACCAUCUCUGGCGUGACCCUUAUUAAACGGAUCUGUAUCAUGAAGAAUCGGUAAAA